rnacentral:rRNA from 1 species
AUGGCCACCCCGACGACGCCGCUGCUCAAGGACGAGCUGGACAUCGUCAUCCCGACGAUCCGCAACCUCGACUUCCUGGAGAUGUGGCGGCCCUUCUUCCAGCCCUACCACCUCAUCAUCGUGCAGGACGGCGACCCGAGCAAGGUCAUCAAGGUGCCCGAGGGCUUCGACUACGAGCUCUACAACCGCAACGACGUCAACCGCAUCCUCGGCCCCAAGGCCUCCUGCAUCUCCUUCAAGGACUCGGCCUGCCGCUGCUUCGGGUACAUGGUCUCCAAGAAGAAGUACAUCUACACCAUCGACGACGACUGCUUCGUUGCUAAGGACCCAUCAGGAAAGGACAUCAAUGCGCUCGAGCAGCACAUCAAGAACCUUCUGAGCCCUUCAACUCCAUUUUUCUUCAAUACUCUGUACGACCCUUACCGUGAGGGUGCUGAUUUUGUUCGUGGGUACCCCUUCAGCCUUCGCGAGGGUGCCCCAACUGCUGUGUCUCAUGGGCUUUGGCUCAACAUUCCAGACUAUGAUGCCCCUACCCAGCUUGUCAAGCCUCGCGAGAGAAAUAACAGGUAUGUUGAUGCUGUUCUUACAAUCCCGAAGGGUACCUUGUUUCCUAUGUGUGGAAUGAACCUCGCGUUUGACCGUGAGCUCAUUGGUCCUGCAAUGUACUUUGGCCUUAUGGGUGAUGGCCAGCCUAUUGGUCGCUACGAUGAUAUGUGGGCUGGAUGGUGCACCAAGGUGAUUACUGAUCAUUUGAGCCUGGGUAUUAAGACUGGUCUGCCCUACAUCUGGCACAGCAAAGCAAGCAACCCGUUUGUGAACCUAAAGAAGGAAUACAACGGCAUCUUCUGGCAGGAGGAGCUGAUCCCCUUUUUCCAGUCUGUGACUCUCUCAAAGGAGGCCACCACUGUCCAGAAGUGUUACCUUGAGCUGGCCAAGCAGGUGAGGGCGAAGCUCGGCAAGGUGGAUGGCUACUUCAACAAGCUUGCUGAUGCCAUGGUCACAUGGAUUGAGGCCUGGGAUGAGCUCAACCCACCAAAGGGUGCCAUUACCACCACAAACGGCCCUGCUCUGAAGAGCAAGUGA